UGACCAGUGCAAUGGCAGACAGGGAUGCCA
rnacentral:piRNA from 1 species